CUCUCUCUCUCUCUCUCUCUAUCUUUUGUUCCCCAUAUCAGACUGCGUGUACAUACCAUAUCAAACCGCGUGUAGCGAUAGCGCACAGUCUCAUCGGCAUAGAUGCACCAACGACGUCGCCUGUGACGACCGCGACGGUGACGAUGGCGGCGAUGGCUUUAUCGCUCGCGAGUGAACCGAACGCGUGUCUGGCCUGUGCGUGUGGACGCGGCUUAAUACACGGUGAGAAAAAGUGAGAAAGAGACAGACACCGUGGAAGGAGAAAAAGGCCGAGUGCGAGUAAGAGAGAUCGGUGUGGUGUGAGGGAGAGAGAAGCGGCGUACAGACAGAGAAGGAGAGUCGCACGAGACAGUUGCGCGCGCGAGCAUACGUCUGUGUGCGAAGUUGGCCGCGUCUGUGUACGCGCCGUCUAGACAGGAGGUUGUUGGGGCCGAACGAGGGUCGGCGGAGAGAGGCGAAAGACGACGUUUGCUGGGCUGGAGGGAUUCGUACGGAGAGAAGGUCUUCAGGUUUGGAAAGACAAACAUAUGGAACGUAGAAGACUAGAUAAGCAAAAGUUAUGGUGUACGAAAUACAUGAAUGGCAAAAAUUGGCUCCUCAUUCUGAAAUUUUGACAGUAAUA